AUUGAACGCUGGCGGCAUGCCUUACACAUGCAAGUCGAACGGCAGCACGGGAGCAAUCCUGGUGGCGAGUGGCGAACGGGUGAGUAACAUAUCGGAACGUGCCCAGUCGUGGGGGAUAACGCAGCGAAAGCUGUGCUAAUACCGCAUACGAUCCAUGGAUGAAAGCGGGGGAUCGCAAGACCUCGCGCGAUUGGAGCGGCCGAUAUCAGAUUAGCUAGUUGGUGAGGUAAAGGCUCACCAAGGCGACGAUCUGUAGCUGGUCUGAGAGGACGACCAGCCACACUGGAACUGAGACACGGUCCAGACUCCUACGGGAGGCAGCAGUGGGGAAUUUUGGACAAUGGGCGCAAGCCUGAUCCAGCAAUGCCGCGUGCAGGAUGAAGGCCUUCGGGUUGUAAACUGCUUUUGUACGGAACGAAACGGUCUUUCCUAAUACGAGAGGCUAAUGACGGUACCGUAAGAAUAAGCACCGGCUAACUACGUGCCAGCCGCCGCGGUAA
rnacentral:rRNA from 1 species